rnacentral:snRNA from 1 species
ACACUCACUUCAGCAGCACAUAUACCAAAAUUUGAAUGAUAUAGAGAAGAUUAGCUUGUCCCCUGCACAAAGAUGACAUGCAAAUUCAUGAAGCGUUCCAUCAUUUU